rnacentral:rRNA from 8 species
UCCGUAGGUGAACCUGCGUAAGGAUCAUUG